rnacentral:rRNA from 1 species
GAAGAGCGGCGAACGGGUGAGUAACGCGUGGGAAAUCUGCCGAGUAGCGGGGGACAACGUUUGGAAACGAACGCUAAUACCGCAUAACAAUGAGAAUCGCAUGAUUCUUAUUUAAAAGAAGCAAUUGCUUCACUACUUGAUGAUCCCGCGUUGUAUUAGCUAGUUGGUAGUGUAAAGGACUACCAAGGCGAUGAUACAUAGCCGACCUGAGAGGGUGAUCGGCCACACUGGGACUGAGACACGGCCCAGACUCCUACGGGAGGCAGCAGUAGGGAAUCUUCGGCAAUGGGGGCAACCCUGACCGAGCAACGCCGCGUGAGUGAAGAAGGUUUUCGGAUCGUAAAACUCUGUUGUUAGAGAAGAACGUUAAGUAGAGUGGAAAAUUACUUAAGUGACGGUAUCUAACCAGAAAGGGACGGCUAACUACGCGCCAGCAGCCGCGGUAAUACGUAGGUCCCAAGCGUUGUCCGGAUUUAUUGGGCGUAAAGCGAGCGCAGGUGGUUUCUUAAGUCUGAUGUAAAAGGCAGUGGCUCAACCAUUGUGUGCAUUGGAAACUGGGAGGCUUGAGUGCAGGAGAGGAGAGUGGAAUUCCAUGUGUAGCGGUGAAACGCGUAGAUAUAUGGAGGAACACCGGAGGCGA